rnacentral:rRNA from 1 species
AUUACCGAGUUUACAACUCCCAAACCCAAUGUGAACAUACCUUUAUGUUGCCUCGGCGGGACCGCCCCGGCGCCCUCACCGGCCCGGAACCAGGCGCCCGCCGCAGGGACCCAAACCUCUGUUUUUGUUAAGAUUUCUCCUCUGAGUGGAUUUUACAAAUAAAUCAAAACUUUCAACAACGGAUCUCUUGGCUCUGGCAUCGAUGAAGAACGCAGCGAAAUGCGAUAAGUAAUGUGAAUUGCAGAAUUCAGUGAAUCAUCGAAUCUUUGAACGCACAUUGCGCCCGCCAGCAUUCUGGCGGGCAUGCCUGUCCGAGCGUCAUUUCAACCCUCAGGCUCCCGCGCCUGGCGUUGGGGAUCGGCCUUCACCGGCCGGCCCCGAAAUACAGUGGCGGCCCCGCCCGUGUACCUCUGCGUAGUAGCACAACCUCGCAGCUGGGAGCGGCGGCGGCCACGCCGGAAAACCCCCGACUUCUGAAAGUUGACCUCGGAUCAGG